UGGUAAUGCCGGAUGUUCCACAUGAUCGCAUGUGAUUGUGGGAAAGAUUCUAUCGGCGUGGGAUGGGGUCGCGUCCUAUCAGCUUGUUGGUGAGGUAACGGCUCACCAAGGCUUCGACGGGUAGCCGGCCUGAGAGGGCGACCGGCCACAUUGGGACUGAGAUACGGCCCAGACUCCUACGGGAGGCAGCAGUGGGGAAUAUUGCACAAUGGGCGCAAGCCUGAUGCAGCGACGCCGCGUGAGGGAUGGAGGCCUUCGGGUUGUAAACCUCUUUUGUUUGGGAGCAAGCCUUCGGGUGAGUGUACCUUUCGAAUAAGCGCCGGCUAACUACGUGCCAGCAGCCGCGGUAAUACGUAGGGCGCAAGCGUUAUCCGGAUUUAUUGGGCGUAAAGGGCUCGUAGGCGGCUCGUCGCGUCCGGUGUGAAAGUCCAUCGCUUAACGGUGGAUCUGCGCCGGGUACGGGCGGGCUGGAGUGCGGUAGGGGAGACUGGAAUUCCCGGUGUAACGGUGGAAUGUGUAGAUAUCG
rnacentral:rRNA from 1 species